CUUACCUGCCAGGUCUCCUGUUCCUUCUGCAUAUCCAUUGUACCCUCCAGAGAACCCUCCUCCUCCAUCAUCAUCAUCACCGUCAUCUUCAUCCAAGUCUGCCUGACCCUGACGACCAAAUUUGUGGCUUCGAGCUGAACUAUCCUCCACAUCUGGAAGCCUUCUUCUCCACUCACAACCUAAGGAUGCAUCAUGCUGUGGCAAUAGCACCCAGUUGGCAUGGCUCAAAAAAAUACACACCUCACAGACCUCUGCAUAACAUGGACUGGACUGCAAAAUCUGUCUGAUUAAACUCUUAUCAAAGUUUCAGAUUCCAAGACCUGACAAGAUGCCUGAUGUUCAAACUGAUCAUCUUCACACAAGAAGCUUGUACAAAAUGAACAACGAAAGAUGCGCCCACCAUGAUCCCACACUUGGCGCUCACAUUCAGCACAUAUGGCAUCCUGCAGAGGGCAUGUGCAAGCAUGUGUGGUGAGGCACCGACGACCAUGACACACCCAUGCUUCACAGUAGUCACAAAUGGCUCCCUGCAGAGAUCAGUCUCAUUAAAGCAUACUUUAUUUUCAACAGACAAAAUUGGUAUUGUAAGUUAAACAAGAACUGUUAUCAAGAUUUCUCAUUUUCUCUGAUAUACAGAUGCCACUUGCAGGCUAAAAAAUAUCAUUAAACCACAAAGUAAUACUAUAUCAUUCACAGAUUGCAGAAUUAACCACUUCAAGCAAUCUGCAUUUUAUACAAGUACAACUGUGCUGACAUUAGCCUGGAGCAAAAGGGAAUGUGUGUGUGUGUGUGUGUGCAUGUAUAUGCAAAUGGGUUUAUAGCGGUUUCUCAUCUUCACAAGUUAUACAGUAGUAAAUAAACGAUUGUAAAUAAUGAAUUCAAAAGCUGUGGAAGGAAGUGAGCAUGGUCUAUUUUGUGGUCUGCAGGAACUAAGACAAUUAAUUUGACUUUAACAAUAUCUUACCACCAUGCCAAAGCCUGUUGUGAAAAUACCUGGAUGCCUUAUCA